UACGAAGGGGGCUAGCGUUGCUCGGAAUUACUGGGCGUAAAGGGCGCGUAGGCGGAUACUUAAGUCGGGGGUGAAAGCCCAGGGCUCAACCCUGGAAUAGCCUUCGAUACUGGGUAUCUUGAGUACGGGAGAGGUGAGUGGAACUCCGAGUGUAGAGGUGAAAUUCGUAGAUAUUCGGAAGAACACCAGUGGCGAAGGCGACUCACUGGCCCGUUACUGACGCUGAGGCGCGAAAGCGUGGGGAGCAACAGGG
rnacentral:rRNA from 1 species